UACGUAGGGUGCGAGCGUUAAUCGGAAUUACUGGGCGCAAAGCGUGCGCAGGCGGUUUUGUAAGCCAGAUGUGAAAUCCCCGGGCUUAACCUGGGAAUGGCAUUUGGGACUGCAAGGCUGGAGUGUGGCAGAGGAGACUGGAAUUCCUGGUGUAGCAGUGAAAUGCGUAGAUAUCAGGAGGAAUACCGAUGGCGAAGGCAGGUCUCUGGGCUAACACUGACGCUCAUGCACGAAAGCGUGGGGAGCAAACAGG
rnacentral:rRNA from 1 species